CGGGGGGCAGCAGUGGGGAAUUUUGGACAAUGGGCGCAAGCCUGAUCCAGCAAUGCCGCGUGCAGGAAGAAGGCCUUCGGGUUGUAAACUGCUUUUGUCAGGGAAGAAAUCCUCUAGGCUAAUACCUUGGGGGGAUGACGGUACCUGAAGAAUAAGCACCGGCUAACUACGUGCCAGCAGCCGCGGUAAUACGUAGGGUGCGAGCGUUAAUCGGAAUUACUGGGCGUAAAGCGUGCGCAGGCGGCUUUGCAAGACAGAUGUGAAAUCCCCGGGCUCAACCUGGGAACUGCAUUUGUGACUGCAAGGCUAGAGUACGGCAGAGGGGGAUGGAAUUCCGCGUGUAGCAGUGAAAUGCGUAGAUAUGCGGAGGAACACCAAUGGCGAAGGCAAUCCCCUGGGCCUGUACUGACGCUCAUGCACGAAAGCGUGGGGAGCAAACAGGAUUAGAUACCCGAGU
rnacentral:rRNA from 1 species